GAUGAACGCUGGCGGCGUGCUUAACACAUGCAAGUCGAACGAAAAGGCCAGGCUUUUGCGGGUGGCCGGAGUGCCGAACGGGGGGGAAAAACGGGGGUAACCACCCCUUGAUUUCGGGAUAACUCCAGGAAAAUGGGGCUAUAACAGGACAGGUAAUCCUGCACAAUGUGGGGGCACGGAAAGUUUCGGGGGUUGGGGAUGGACUGGCGGCUUAUGAGCUUGUUGGGGGGGUAGGGGCUUACCAGGGCUUUGACGGGUAGCCGGCCUGAGAGGGUGACCGGCCACAUUGGGACUGAGAUACGGCCCAGACUCCUACGGGAGGCAGCAGUGGGGAAUAUUACACAAUGGGCGGGAGCCAGAUGCAGCAACGCCGCGUGCGGGAUGACGGCCUUCGGGUUGUAAACCGAUUUCGCCUGUGACGAGGCGUGAGUGACGGUAAUUGGUAAAGAAGCACCGGCUAACUACGUG
rnacentral:rRNA from 1 species